rnacentral:rRNA from 1 species
CAAAUUAAAGAGAGUUUGAUCCUGGCUCAGGACGAACGCUGGCGGCGUGCCUAAUACAUGCAAGUAGAACGCUGAGA